GCAGCCACUCAUUCAAAGAGUGCGUAAUAGCUCACUGGUCGAGUGAUCCUGCGCCGAAGAUUUCCGGGGCUAAAACUUACUACCGAAGCUACGGCAUCAGUAAUGAUGGGUAGGGGAGCUUCCCAUACGGGUUGAAGCAUGACCGUAAGGACAUGUGGACAGUAUGGGAGUGAGAAUGUUGGCAUGAGUAGCGAGAUGUGGGUGAGAAUCCCACAGGCCGUAAACCCAAGGUUUCCAGGGGAAGGUUCGUCCGCCCUGGGUUAGUCGGGACCUAAGCUGAGGCCGAAAGGCGUAGGUGAUGGACAACAGGUUGAUAUUCCUGUACUACCGAUAACCGUUUGAGAGAAGGGAUGACACAGUAGGAUAAGCUAAGCACACUGUUGGUUAUGUGUGCCCAAGCAUUGAGGCAGUCAAAGUAGGCAAAUCCGCUUUGAUAAUGCUGGGGUGUGAUGGGGAGCGAAAUUUAGUAGCGAAGUAGCUGAUUUCACACUGUCAAGAAAAGUCUCUAUCGAGGUUAAAGGUACCCGUACCGCAAACCGACACAGGUGGGUGAGGAGAGUAUCCUAAGGCCAGCGAGAGAACUGUUGUUAAGGAACUCGGCAAAAUGACCCCGUAACUUAGGGAUAAGGGGUGCCACCAUCAGGUGGCCGCAGAGAAUAGGCCCAAGCGACUGUUUACCAAAAACAUAGGUUUCUGCUAAGUCGCAAGACGAUGUAUAGGAGCUGACGCCUGCCCGGUGCUGGAAGGUUAAGGGGAUCUGUUAGAGCAAUCGAAGCAGUGAACUUAAGCC
rnacentral:rRNA from 1 species